rnacentral:rRNA from 1 species
UACGUAGGCAGCAAGCGUUUGUUUCGGAGUUAUUGGGCGUAAAGGGUGCGUAGGCGGUUUGGUAAGUCUUAUGUGAAAUCUACAGGCUCAACUUGUAGUCUGCAUGAGAAAUCUGCCGGGCUGAGUAUGGGAGAGGUGAGUGGAAUUCCUGGUGUAGCGGUGAAAUGCGUAGAUAUCAGGAGGAACACCAGUGGCGAAGGCGGCUCACUGGCCCGAUCACUGACGCUGAGGCACGAAAGCGUGGGGAGCAAACAGG